rnacentral:rRNA from 1 species
GAUGAACGCUGGCGGCGUGCCUAACACAUGCAAGUCGAGCGAAGCGGGGACGGGUGAGUAACACGUGGAUAACCUCCUAUAAGACUGGGAUAACGUCGGGAAACCGGAGCUAAACCGGAUCCUUAUAGAUGGUUCCGCGCUGCAUUAGCUAGUGGGUAAGGUAACGGCUUACCAAGGCAACGAUGCAUAGCCGACCUGAGAGGGGGAUCGGCCACACUGGAACUGAGACACGGUCCAGACGCCUACGGGAGGCAGCAGUAGGGAAUCUUCCGCAAUGGGCGAAAGCCUGACGCAGCAACGCCGCGUGAGUGAUGAAGGUCUUCGGAUCGUAAAGCUCUGUUAUUAGGGAAGCGGUACCUGAUCAGAAAGCCCCGGCUAACUACGUGCCAGCAGCCGCGGUAAUUC